AUUGAACGCUGGCGGCAGGCCUAACACAUGCAAGUCGAGCGGAUGAAGGGAGCUUGCUCCUGGAUUCAGCGGCGGACGGGGGAGUAAUGCCUAGGAAUCUGCCUGGCAGGGGGGGAUAACGUCCGGAAACGGGCGCUAAUACCGCAUACGACCUGAGGGAGAAAGUGGGGGAGCUUCGGACCUCACGCUAUCAGAUGAGCCUAGGUCGGAUUAGCUAGUUGGUGGGCUAAGGGCCUACCAAGGCGACGAUCCGUAACUGGUCUGAGAGGGUGAUCACUCACACUAGAGCGGGGACACGGUCCAGACUCCUACGGUAGGCAGCAGUGGGGAAUAUGGGACAAUGGGCGAAAGCCUUAUCCAGCCAUGCCGCGUGUGUGAAGAAGGUCUUCGGAUUGUAAAGCACUUUAAGUUGGGAGAAAGGGCAGUAAGUUAAUACCUUGCUGUUUUGACGUUACCAACAGAAUAAGCACCGGCUAACUUCGUG
rnacentral:rRNA from 1 species